AUUUAUAUUCAAACUUGUUACUUUACUAAAAACUAAUAUUUAAAAAAUUCUAGUGAUCACUAUAAAUUUGUAGUAUUUAACGUUUAAAAUAAAAAAGUUGUGCAUAAAUUUUGUAUUACGUACAAAAAAAGUAACGGAUAUUGUAACGGUAACGGUAACGAGUAACUUGUUAACAAAAUGAACGGUAACGGUAACGAGUUACUUUUAUAAAUAAUAAUGAUGCGAUGUUCUGUUGCAUAAUACUGAUGACUACGUGACUGCCAUUUUCGCCUCUCUUUUUCUUAACCGAAUAUCCAUGUAGCAUAUCUUUUCUUAUCUAUAAUCUUCAUGAUCUUGAAUGGAUCAUUAUUUUUGUAAGUUUUUAUUAAAACACUGAAGAAGAUCCCAUAGUAGAUCAAGACGUUUGUUGGAACUUUUUUAAAAUCUUGGAAUUGUGGAGGAGUUGUGCCCGAACGUCUGGUGUUGGCUUGUUAUUGCCAUUUCCUUAAUUCUUUUUACUUUUAUAAAGUAACUUUCCCAACUUUGGUAAAUUAAUGUUCGCAGAAGAAUACACGAACGCUUUGAUGUUAUGGAUGCCAAAUUCAAAAAAAUAACUACAAUGUUGGAACAUGUGCUGAAGUGCGUGCAAGAUGGAAAACGUAUGCCACGCAAGCCGGAGAUCCUUCCUAUAUCAUCAAUUGAAGAAAUAGAUGCGUUUGAAAUUAUCGACGAUGAUGUUUAUUCAACAAUUGUGAAUUAUUUCCGCUACAUCGGUGGCUUUACACUUAAGGAAGCUGUAAAUCUGUGCCUGAAGGAGGGACUCAAAGAUUCUGUAACCCCAUCUUAUACUUGGUGAGGUCGCGAAGGAAGACAAUCAUUAUAAAACACUCAUUUUGUUGUAGCAAUCUACGAAGCUGUAUCUUAGAAUCGUCAUUUUGAAAAGCCGUCACGUUCAGAGUUUCAAGCACAGAUCAGAGAGACUCUGCGAAUUGCAAAACAGCGAUUUAGAAGCAGAACACGCGGGCCACGUAAUGCUCAGCAGAAACCCGUCGUAAAGAACCGUCGCCAAGUAUGGAGCGACGAGCAACCAGAGCAACCACAAGAGCGUAACGAGUGAUUGAUUUCAAGUUUAAGAGUCUUGGAAGAUGAGAAGACAACCACCGUACAUAAAGGCUACGAAAUGGAAAACAAUGUAUUGAGAAGCCGUUGAAACAUCGUUCGUGGAGGAUGAUUAUGAGGACUCUCAAUGAGAUUGCGGAAGAUUUUAAUUUUUAAUCUCUUUUAAAGCACGUAUCAGAUCUGUGCCAUUGAAAUUGAGAGUACUUUGGCAUUCGACGAAUUCUUUGGGAUUUGGAUCUUAAUCAAUGGAGGAACAAGAUCAGCAAAAGAAGACCACCACCAAUUAUCGAGAGCGAGGAAAAUUACAUUAGAUAUAUUUAGAUAUAGAAAUAUUUUGUUUUUAUUAAAUAAAUAAUACUUUAAACACACAUUCUCACACACAAAACUAUAUUUUCUACAUAUUUAUAAAAUAAACGAAAUUCAUAAAGGCUAAAAGUGUUACGUCUUGGCCCACGGUUACGGUCGGGCUAUGGUGGAGUAACAGAGAGCUGUCGUUUCUCUGUCUUCGCGCAGCAGGUAGGCGAUUCUGUUGCGGCAGAGUCGAGCGAGUUUGUAUGCUCUCACGAACAGGUCAACAGCA